rnacentral:lncRNA from 1 species
GAGAGAGAGGGGGAAAGAGAGAGAGAGGUCAUGAUGGAAUUGGACUUCCAAAGUAAAAAUAAAAACAUUCUUAUUGUUUGACAUCUAGCAUGCUCUAGUGACUCUUGAUCAUUCUAUUGAGAAAUUAUUGGUUAGAACCAUUUUAUCAUGUGAAUCUUAGACCAUCUAAUAAAAAUUCAUCACAUCAAAAUUCAUUGUUGGAAAAAGGUUCAUUGCUAUCCAAACUAGUUGAAAAUUUUUAUAGAAAAAGAUUCCCUAUUAACCAUGGUUAGCCAGUUGAGAACUUUUGCUGUUUUGAAUAAAAAAAAUUAUUUUUUUAGAUGAUAUGAUGAUUUUUUAUUGGAUGGUUCAAGAUAUACGGGGUAAAAUAAUUCUAACCAAUAAUUUCUUCAUUCUAUUAAUAAAGUCUAUGGAGAAAAUUUUUUUCUUUACCUAAUCCUAAGAAAAAAGAAAGGUGGCGAUGGACAGAUCAUGAUAGGUCUCUACUUUUGAAGGAACAAAAAAAGAUGCUAGCACUCUCAUUGUAUAGAUUGCUUAUAGGAGAUUUUACCAAAAUAAAUUGCUUAUAGAGGAGUUCUAAAGUUUUUAGUUGAGCUCCUAUCCACUUUGAAAUGGACCAUGCACUAAAUCUGCAUUAAAUCCUCCACGAAUAGCAGCAUUAGUUGCACAUCUCUCAAAUUCAUGACUUCUACCCGCCUCCAUACUUUUUUUAAAACAUUUCCUUAAUGAGACAUCCAAAAAUUAAUGCACCUAAAAACUUCUGAAAGAAGGCAAAAGAAAAAAAAAACACUGGCACUCCAUUGAAUAGAUUGUUUAUGAGGUGAUUUUACACCCCCUCACCCCUUGAAACUAAAAAAAAAAAAGUGCUUGAAAAAAAGAAUUUGAAAAAAAAAAGAGUUUGAAAAAAAAAAAAAAAGAAGAAGAAGCUUAUAAGAGGAUUCCAAACUCUCCUAUAAAAUGACAUUGUAAUGGGGGAGCUCUAAACUCCCCUUCCAUGUAUUGUAUAGAUUAUGGCAUUAUCCUUCAUAUUUUACCAUUUCCACAUUCCUAUUCUACCCAUUGACUUCUACUUUCAUGUGGAGAGCAUACUUAAAUUCUAGUAGUAGAUAACAGAUAUAAAACCUUCACUACUCAUUUAUUCAUAGAUAAUUUUAUGUUUAAUACAUAUACUUUAUUCAGUGCUACAGAUCUGGACCAAGUAAAAGUAAGAUAAAAAUCAGAUUAAAAUUCUUACUACAUAUGAUGCAAAUAUUUGGAUUGUAUAGAGUCUAGAUUCAAAUAAGAGUUGUCAAGGAAGGGUGUCGAUUUUAGCAAGAGGCUGAACUGGAAAGGUGAGAACAUCUUGAUUGAAAGCUUAUCUCUUUCUUUUUUCCAAAUACACUCUUUCUUCCAUAAACAUAUGUCUAGAAUCUCUAAGAAUGCUUGGGUUUCAGUUUUAGCCAAGCAUUUGACUCCAUGGAGUCUCUACAAUUUGAUGCAAAUGCUUGGGCUUCAGUUUUAUCCAAGCAUUUGACUCCACCUUUUUUUUUUUUUAAUUUAGUAACUUAAAACUCAUCUUAAAAAAGAAAAGAAGAAAUUACUAAUAGUGCAGAUACAUAGCUUGCUCCAAAAUACACAAUCUCCCUAAACGUCGUGGGUUUGAACUAAUUAUGGGGUUUCAGUUGAUGGUAUUGCGUCAAAAAAUGAUACCAAUUUUCCUGCAUGCCCAUGUGCAAAACUCUGGUGAUUAAUGAAGAAAAAUAGUGUCGUACCAAAAAAGAAAAAGAAAAAGAAAAAGAAUGAAACUGCGACGCGGAGAUGUAUAAGGCAUCCGUGAACCAUGGUAUUCUACAUUCAUACAUACAUUCAGUUUAUAUGGCAAAUUGAUAACGGGGCCUAUGUUAAUAUUCCACAUGAUCCAUAAUGUCCUAAUAUUCCUUUUUUACAAUGGCCUACUUACUUGAAUAUGGAUUUGGAUCUUUCUAAUACCACUUUGGAUCAUUUUAUCUCACAAGACAAGUCAUGAGAUCACUUCAGACUUUGGGCUGUUUUCUCUCAAGUUUUGGUUGAUAACAUGAUACAUAUUUUUAUUUCGAUAUCCUCCUCUACUGAUUGGCUUAUAUCUCGCCUCACUCAUGUGCCCAGAAUUCUAAUAUUGCUGAUAGAUAGGCUCUGCUCCGUCUCCUUCUCUGUAGUCUUUGUUUGGCUAUAAUAUUCGGUUCUUUGGAGGUUGCUGGCUGUUUGUAGGUUUCUCAUAUAUGUGUUCCUAGUCAAGGGUUUACUAAAGACUUCUGUUUCCAUGGGUCUGCUUAUCAUCUCUUUGGAGCUGUUGCAUCGCUCUAUCAUAUGUUCAGCCUUUUCGCUUGUUUAUAGUCUUUGUAUUACUUCUGGUUCUUCGUUAUGGUUGAGCUUCUGCUCGUACCUGUGACCGUUCCUUCCACGGCUGCCCCUCGGUGUCAACCCAAAAAAAAAAAAGAAAAAAAAAAGAAGGAAAAAGAAAAAGAGAGAAGGCAAAUCAACUCCAUCUAACUAUGAUCAGACGGUACCACAACUAUCGGUCAAAGGUACCUUAUAUUCACCGGUGCACCUAGUUCAACUAAGAUUCCGUCAUCCGUCGGAAUAUCGCUCUCGUUACAUCCCUGCCGUCCAUCCACGAUAUCGGCAAGCGAUCAUAAUGGGUCCAAUGAAUCGCUACCCUGCGUCUCCCGCUCGUCCCUAACAUUGUACAUUCCAGGUAGGAGAUAGCAGUGGAGUCAUGGCGAGACGGAGGGCGUCGCAGUUUCUUGCCGGCUACUGCUGCUCCCAAAGCCACUCCCUCGUCCGGCGCCCGCCCCUCUGCUCCCAAGAACCCGCGUCAAUCUCCGCUCCAGGUACCAAUCCUUUUCUUUUUUUCACAAAUCGUACGGGAAUUGGAAUAAUUGUUAUCGUUCAAGAAGAUCUACAAAGUUAUCGACAGCGUUUACGGCUGAAUUGAUGUCACGAUCUUUAGGAUAUUGAAGAAUUAGAACAGAUUUUAUCGUUCAAGAAGAUCUGAAAUGGCAUCAACAACGUCUCAUGCCGAACUUGGUGUGGUGAUUCUUGAAUUAUUUGAAGAAUUAGAGCCAAUUUUGUCGUUCAAGAAAAUCUAACGGUGUCAAGAACAUCUCCUAAUGGCUUUGAUUUGUGAUCUUUAAGAUCUUUGAGAGUUAGAACGAGAACCAGUUUUAUCAUUCUAGAAGAUCACGAUCUUUUCAAGAUCUUUGUUCGUUGGAUUGCAAUGCACUAUGAGAGAGGGUUAGAAUUUCUUGGUGGUGCUGUGAUUCUUGAAACCAGCAACGUCAGAUAAUGGCUAUGGAAUUGGAACAAGAUAACGGGGAUUUGACUAUGUAUCGCCUAGAUAUAUGUCUUAUUUCUAGUCUAUUUGUCAUACUACUUGGGUCUCUUGGCGAGUUUUUACUGAGGAUUUAUUGUUUGCUGACUAGUUAUCACCGGUUAAUAUUGGUGAAACUCUGCUCCAAGUAACUAUUGCUUUUAAUUCUGAAAAUUAGAGACAAUUUUAUUGUUUAUGAUUAUCUAGGCAUCAAGAACAUCAUGUUUGUACUGAGGAUUUCCAGUUUCAUGACUCAUAAACAUUGGCUUAUUGGUAGCUAUGUGGGAUGAUCUCGUAUUAAAUUUGAUGAUUCCGAUGUGAUUUUCUUAGAAAAUGGGUUCAUAUAUUAGGGUCGUCAAAAGUUGGAAUCUAGGGCCAAUUUAGCAUCUAGAGAAAAUCAGAAUAAGCUAAUUAUUGACUUUCUUCUUGGUAAAUGGAGGAAAAGAUGAGCAUCUGUCAAUGAUUAUUGGAACUGUCUAAUAAGGAAUUAGACAAUGUGGUUCUGCAAAGAUGUCAAACAUAAGGAUAUUCUUUCAUGGAGGGAACAUGCUGUGCCUAUGAUUCCACCCACCAAACAUGUUCAUCGUAGCUACAAUGGCAAAUAUUAAAGUUUUGGUACCUGGACGGGUCAGAAUUGGCCGGGACAACUGCUCACAAUAAGAAGGAAGAAGGGAAAAAAAGAAAAAAUUGUCCCUGGAUGUUAGGCCAUCCGCAGUGUUAGGAUGCAACCAUCCUGAUAUUGGUACCAAUCAAGAUGGUUGGGAUGUCCUAUUCUGUGACCCAGGUGUCCAGGGUCAUCCUAAGAACUGUUUUCUCAUCAUAGUGGUAUAGUACUAGGCUUCAUGGGUACCAUUAGGACAUGAAUCCUUGCACAGCAAUGAUGGCUAACAUGGGGAGGUCCAAGCUAGUGCCACAAUGGCAAGUUUUGGAAGUAUUAUAAGGUGUGCUGCAUGUGAAGUACUCUGGAUAAUAGAGGGGUGAAAACUCUGGUCGCUUACUCUAUUAAUGACUUCAAUUCAAGUCUGAACAUUGGUGGUAAAAGAAAAGAUGCAUCAAAAUAUGCUGGUAAUCUAUGUUGACCAUGAAAAAUUCAAAAUAUUUUAUCCAACUGUCAAGGAUGAGCUGAUGCUGCAUAGUAGGCCUCCAAAGCUUCCUUGAGGAUCUUUGAGGUUGCUAUAUCAUGAAACAAAGCAUGCGGAUUUAGGGUACACGUCCUAUAUGCAAGACACCACUCUAAAGAUCUUAUAUCUACAUUGCGAAAAAAUUGUACAAUUUCAUGCAAGGCUCGUGCUAUGAUGAAAUAAUACAUAUGAAUGUCACACCUAUCAUGUGUUCAUAUGGGCAUAUACAUGUUACAUCUAUGCAUAUGUACAUACAGACACAUAUAUACAUAUUUACAUGUACACAUGGUUUUUUGAAAAUAAUAGCAAUUUAUUGGGCUUUGGCUUAUAUCUGUCUCAUUGCAUUGCAUUAACAAUAGUCUAGACUUGGUACCUUCUAUUUGCAUAAAUACACUCACUAUAUAAUCAGCAAAAAUUGCUGUGGUGAUACACAUCUCUUUCUUGCUAAAUAAUGGAAUUACCAUUAGUGUAAACAGCUAAUGGAUAAUGCAAUCAUGAAUUUUUUGGUUUAUUACAGCUUACUUUAGGCCUUAUGUACAGGCUUACCUCAUACACAUGGUAAAGCUACAAGUAUGUUCAAACCACCAUCAAAACUCUAUCGGAAGCUGAAUUCCCAGACAUCAUGUGAUAUAAUGCAAGUUCACUAUAGUCGAACUUAUGGAAUCCAUCAGAGAUCAUUUACAUCUGCAGCCAUAAAUAUCCAGAGGAGUCCAUCAUUUUCAAAAUUAAAUUCUGAUGACAUUGGCUACUUCAAGAGUAUGUUAGGUGAUAAAAAUGUUGUUCAGGAUGAAGAUAGACUGUCAGCUGCAAAUGUGGAUUGGAUGCGGAAAUAUAAAGGUUCAAGCCAGCUUUUGCUUUUACCUAGAAACACUGAAGAGGUAAGUGUUCUCAAGUAUAUUGAAUUUAAAUUUUUAUCAUUAUUGCUUGUUGAUUUUCAUGUAGCUCCAUAUCCUGUAGAACAAAAUUAAUUUUGAUGUUAACUGAAAGAGUGGUCAAUUAUAGAUAAACAAAAGAGACAGAACAGGAUAAAACACCUUCUCAUAAUUUUGUAUUACCUAUCAGAAAUAUGUCAAAUUUAACCGGCCAUAAUUAUAUGUUGUUAAGUCCAUAUGAUCCCUUGUUUAUAGCUGUCUAAAUAACUAGAAGAUAUAUGUGGCAGAAUUCUGAAUGGUUCUUGUUAAACAGUCAUUCAUUCUGUCAUAGCUCUGUGUGGCUCGUAAGUACAAUUCCAUGUAGAUGGUGCAAUUGUCUAUCAAUAUUACAAGGCCUCUUCAUAUGUUUAUCAUUUGCUUUAAUCCUAAGACCACAUUUAAUUGGUGCAAAAACUUACUAGUCAUUUUAAACAGAUUUCUCCCACAAUUUUCAUGCCAAUUGGCUUAUUUUUGAAUGAUGCUGUACCCUUAUGUAAUUCUCCAGUUUUGCUUCUUUAGAUUCCAAACUAAAUAGUCAAAUACUUCCACCUACAAUGCUACAAAUCCAACCUGCUUCCUAAGUGUUUCUUACCUUAAAGUUCUUUGAGAGAUUCACUUCCUACAGCUGCACCUGAAUCUGCUCCUGCUCCUGCAUCGUUCCCAAUUCAGGUAGCUGAGUUCUAAAGUUAAAGAUGAUUUAGGCUCUAGAUGUGUUGGGAUUCUUGCUUGAUUCUGCACAUCUUAGAUUCAGGCCUUGCAUUGAUCCUAUUAAAGUGUUUUAAAUAUUUUGAAUAUUUUACUUUGAAAUCUCCCUUGAUGACCCCAGCAGUGGCAUGUGUCUCCUCUGGAUAUGGGUUUCCCUGAUCUAGUAAUAUAUGUUAGUAUUAGUAUUAGUGCCUAGCAGCAAUUCAAUUUAAUGGCAUGCUUGCCUGAUGAUGGCUGUGUCUUCCAGAACAGGGUCUCAGAACUUUCAAGAUGAUCUCCAUCCAAUGGUCUUUGACUCUUGAAAAUGUGUGUGCAAGUGCCCAAUAUAACAUACAACAUCCAAUUAUGUCACAAGUCAUAUUUAUACAAUUAGAAAGUGUUGCAUCCAAUGAGCAAUAUACUGCACCAAGGAUGUGAGAUUCAUCAAUUUGAUACUUAAUUAUGUACAUACAAUGAAAAAAGAUAAAUGUCAGGAUAACAUGCUUAUCAUGUCCACAAUGCAAUUAAGUACAUUUCAAUAGGCUACCAUCCUACUUUCACAAUAAUAAUCAGAAUAUCAUCUAAAAUAAUUGUUCUUUGUUUUGCAUAUACCUUUGAUAGAAUUUUAAAAUCUCUUAUAGUACAUUCUUUAUUCUUAGCUUUUGAAGUCCCAGUAGUAGUAUUUUGAGGAAAUAAUUUAUUCAUGCAUCUAUGGUAAUUCAUAUUUCUUUGAUUACAAACUCUGAGAACCAUAUUAAAUAUCCUGUAAGAUUUUUUCAUGCAACAAGCUCUUAACUUUGCUUUCUGGCAUUUUUGGAUUAUUCAUUUUCUUGUUCACAUUUGUGACUACUAAUGCAGUUCAUAUUGAUUUGCGAUUUUUGUUCUUCCACCAUAGACAAUCGAUGAUAUUUAGGACCAAAGUGUAAUAGUUCAGUUUCAUCUUCUUAUAUAUCCUUUAUUUCACAGGUGUCUAAGAUUCUUCACCAUUGCAACUCCAGACAUUUGGCCAUUGUCCCCCAAGGUGGGAACACAGGUCUAGUAGGAGGAAGUGUUCCUGUUUAUGAUGAGGUAAUAUUGUUGUAGUUUAUUUGUUUUUAGCUGGAUAUGUAAUGCUUCUUAGUAUCACCAAGAAGCAGGAUAGAUUUGGUUUGUUUUGAAUGGAUGAAAAAGAACUUUCUUCUUCUUUCUGAAAUAAAGAAAAGAUAGAGUUUUCUAUCCUCCACAGUUCUUUUUUCUAGUGUCCAUUUCAAGUAAAUAAGUCCUGGUUGAGAUUUGGGGUGUCAUAACAAACUUUAUCUUUACUUGUCUAUAACAAGAUAGAAUCCUGAUGAUUGCUCUAUAUUCCCAUAUCACCAUCCCCGAAGCAGUAAAUAAUGAUGCAUUUUUUGUCAUUUUUCUAUUCUUGCAUAUUAUAAGGAAUAGUGUGCGAUCAAAUUCCUUAUUAUCAUCCAUCGGCUUCAAGAUGCCACAUGCGGAACCUCUCUCUGGACUUGUCAGCGUCAAAAUUUCUGUUUGUUGAGGCAUCAGCCAGAACUACGAAAACUGAUAGAACAUGGAGAGCUUAUUUUCUUUGUUAUCAACUGAAUUCUAAUUAUUCCCCAUUGCAGCCUCUCAUGGUGCUCCUUUCUCUGUGACAACUCGAUGAAUUUCAUAAGUUCUUGAAGAUUGGAAACUGUUUUAUAUCAUCCUGUCAACGCUGGUGAAUAUUAUAAUUAAAUGCCAUACCAUGUUCAAAAUUAUCCAACUCUUUAAAUUUUAUGUCAUUUAAAUUUUUCAACUUUUCUGCCAUUCAAACUGCAGGUAUAUCAUUCCAUUCAAUUAAUUUGUUUUCUGAAAGCUUUGCAGCUUCUAUUCUUUUGUUUGUAUUCCCAGGUGGAUUUUAACACUGCCAUAACGUAUGCCCUUUCAAACAUCAUCUGGUUGAUUUGUUGAUCAAAGCCUAAGUAAUAUUUAAUCAAUUUCGUGUCAAGUCAAUUUGACAUCUCUUUUGUAAAAAUGAAUAUUGAAACUGAAAUAUGUGAGUUUGAAUCAUCUUGAACCAACCAUGCAAAACAAGAUAAGGUAGGUAGUUUGAUUGAAUAGAUUGAGUUGAACUAGAAUUCUGCUGGUCAGAUUUGAGCCAGAUCCUACUGGUGUAAAUUGCAUGAUGAAUCUAUGACUGGGACCAUCUUGUUAUUCAUGAUCUAUGAUGUAUCAGUUGUCUCAUUCAAAAAUCAAAUGCUAUGGUGGUUUCUUACGAUACUGAGUGGUUACAAAUGAACAUUUCUCAGUGGCAGGACAAGAUGAUUUUAUUUUGCUUGUGGUUUCAAAAGUAACUAGAGCUAUUGAUCAAUAAUCCAGGGUUAUUUUAAGUCAGUAUUCAGUUUUGGGGUACUUUGACUGUUGUAGAUCAUGAUAACAAAAUGGAUUCUCAAAGCUCAACUUCGAUGACUUAUUGUGUACAUGGUUUGCCAUAUAGAUCAGUACCAGUACAUACUGAUACCAAAGUGGUACGUGCGGUAUAGGAGACGUACCUAGUGUCAAUAUGCCGAACUGCCCCCAAUACCGGGCAUAUUGACACAUCAAUAGGAUGGUGCUGGUACAUGGUCCAGUAUCGAGGCGAUGAAUCUUGAUCCCGUAUUUUGUGUUGAUAAGAUUUGUCUAAAAAAUGUGAAUAUUAGUGGUAAGAAUAGAGCUCAGCUCUCUUUUGAUGUAUGUGCAGGGUUAUAAACUUAAAAUACACAUCGGAUAUAUGGGGCAUCUUAGCACACAGCAGUGAUGAUCAACACACCUUUUAUCACUGUUCACAUGAAAUGGAAAAAACCAAUGGGUAUAUUGUUCAUUUUAUUGGUGCAUUAACAAGUGGCAUUAUGUUUUUUGAGAUGCCAUCGGUACCAACUUGAAUACACUUUUGUCUUUUCUUAUUUCACUUCGAUGAGUCCAAAUGUUAUAUUGAUCAUUUAUGCACUGUGGAAACACUCACAAAUCCCAAUAGUCCCUUGGAGUACUAUAUGCCAACCCUACAUAUAUCUAUUUUGUUAUUUUUUUAUAAGUUAGUUUUUCUGUACUUUAUUGGCCUGAACGAGUUAUGUAGUACACUUCAGCAAUACUGGACAUAGUGAACUGAAUAUAUGGAGGUUUUUUGUACCAUUAAGAAUGCAUUACCAUAUUUAUUGGGAGAGUAGGUAUAAUAUGAAUCAACUUUGUAAGCACUGGUAUAUUAGAGUAUUCAAUUAUGAUAGUUGCACAUACUACUUUUUUAUGUGUUAUAGAACUAACCAUAAUCAUUAUGGCAUAUUUUUUUUAAAAGAGAGACAUUUUAACCUUUAUAGAUGAGUCUAUUUAUAACAUGUUUAUGGGUGUGUAUGUUGGUAGAAUUAGGCAUGUAUGUGGACAUGUGGUGUGAUGGUGCACAUGUAUAUGUUUGCACAAAAAUUAAAAGUGACUAUUAACAUCGGAAAAAGUAAAUAUUUAGCUACUUGCUACUGAAUGUAUCUUUUCAUGAUUUUUAUCCUUACCAAAGUCUUGUGCCUGUAUUUGGAAAGGAACACACAGAGGCAUUAACUAAAGAUGAAAGAUAUCAAACUCGAGUUUUUCUUCUUUCUUUCUUUUUUUUUUUGAAGAACAUUUCGAAUUUUCUUAUGAAAAAUUUUUAUUUCCUCUUAAUCCAAGUAAUUUACUUUGCAGGUUAUCAUAAGUCUUGCUUCAAUGGACCAGAUAAUUUCCCUCGACAAGGUAGGUAUAUAUAUGUUUCUGAAUAGAUCCCUUAAAAACCUGUUUCAUUGUGCAUUCCCACAUAUAUUCUCCAUUGGCUUGCCAUUUUGAUAUGGUUUUAAAUUCUGGACUUCCUGUGUCUCUAAGAAGUUUGUAGAUUGUCAUCUAAAUUGAUAUUAGUAAAAAGAAAAUUUUAAGAUUCUAAAGACAAAUGCUUGUUUGUAUCAAAAGAUAUUGUGCCAGUAAUUUUAUUUGGUUCUAAGUAGUUUAAAUUGGGAUCAUGCGGUAGGAAGCUAAACUAGUCGAAACAUCUAAUUAUCUGCAUAUUUUUUAAAUUUAAAGCAUCUUAACUGCUAAAAUAGUGGUUUCUUCACCUUUUUUUUUUUUGGUGAGUGCAUUUGGUAACUGCAUUAUCAGAAGUGCAUGGUCCGUGGAUUUCCAGUAUGGUAAAAAUAAAUACAUCAUCAAUCUUUAUAUGAACUAAAGUUGGCCUUGAUAAAAAAUGGUGAUGAUAUGUGAUGCUUUGCUAAAGGUUUGAUGAUAAAUGCUAGAGUGGGUGUAAUGGCCCUAAUGGAUGAUUUUUGUUUAAUAUAUUCUCUCCAUUUGGUUCUGGAUGAUAUGUCACUGAAAUAAUCAUGUACAUUACAUUUAAUUCUGUAAUAACACAAGAAUCGCAAUUUGGAAAAUCUUUCGGGCAAUAUCUAAAAUAAGACUAGCAACAUAUUGAAGACAUUAUUCAGAAUAUAUAGGUGCUGGACGCUACUCGAUGGAAUUUUCAUCAGAAUCUUAGAUCUGAGAGUCACAGAACAAAGCCCUAUGUGCUGUUGAAAAGGCAGCUUGAAGGAUGCAAUUAUAGAUGCAUCAUUGCUUGGAGUGACAUAUAAUUGGUGCGGGGGUAGGAUUAUAUUACCAUCAAAGAGGUAUAUGACAUUUCUCAUACAUAUGCUUUGUAGUUUCCUGAAGCCAACAUCAGAAAUUGCACUCUGAAAAUAGGCAUUGGAUACCACUUUAGGCCAUAGGGGAGCAUGCAAUAAGUGAUAUGCAAAGUGGAGAGGUUGCUGAUGAUCAGGAGGCUGCUUGUAGGCCACUUCUGAGGGUUCAUGAAUGAUAACUUUAUAGGUCAAGGAAAACAAGAAUGAUGAGUACUCUUUGGGGAUGCAUUCAUGUAUGAUGUAUCCCUUGGCUUCUUUGAAGGGGUCCUUUUUUAUUGUUUCCCUCUGACUUUGUUGGCAAGUCUGUUAGUGCUUCCUUGCAAUCAGGGAAUCUCUCUCUUCACCGCUCAACAUUCUUCCUUCAGUGUAUGAACUGUUUGUUAUCGUAUAGUAGAAAACUACCUGAUGGCCUGUCAUAAAAUUUCUCAUGGUGGUAGUUUAGCCAGAGUCAACAUCAUGCUAUCUUUCUGAAGAAACAACCUGGUCAUGAUAUAUGACAUGUUGUUUUCAGGUGAAUGGUAUUCUAAUAUGUGAAGCUGGAUGUAUACUGGAGAACCUAAAUUCAUUCUUAGCAAAUGAAGGGUAAGAACAUAUUUAUCUGUAAUUUGAAAUUAUGUGGCAGACAUGCAUAGAGCGCUGGUUGAAGAGUCAUAGUUGCAAAUGGGGCAUAAUUAUUUGCAAAAUUAUGCAAUAAGAAUCACUCUUGUCCUCCAUUAUUUAGUUUCAAAGAAUAAGGCCAUGAUUUUUAUGUGUAUUGUUGAAAUAUUUGUACACAGAUUUACUAUUGCCUCCUUAAAGAAAAAGAGAGAGUAAUUCGCAUUGGAAUAUAGUAGAAGAUAUAAUAUUUGGGCUCAAAUUCUUCUUCUAGCAUUUUAUCCCCAUUCUCGCCCCAUGUGCAUGUGACAUGUCUAACAUAAAUUUGAAAUUUUGGCAUGGAAAAUGUCUACAAAAAUAUAUAUUAUCUAUAUUUUUUUUUCAGUCUUUUGUCUUUGCCAUCUAUUACUGCAAUUUUGCUAUCGACACUUCCAUUGUCUCAACUAAAUGAGAUUGUCAACAGUGCCUGUGUUUAAUGCAAGAUAGAGUUGCUUUUUAGGUCUUUAUUUGGAGCAGGACAAAAGAUUUGAGGUAGCAACUAUAAACCUAUUAGUCUCUUAAAACCAUGGAAGUUCUAUAGAUAUUGUAUAAUGUUUUGACUGAAAUACCAAAAAUAGCCUUGAAGCAUUUGCAGAUUCACAAUUCUAUUUGCAUUUGGAUAUUGAUUCCCAUUAUUUUCUUUUCCUUAGAUUUAUCAUGCCCCUUGACUUGGGGGCAAAAGGAAGUUGUCAAAUUGGUGGAAAUGUUUCAACCAAUGCUGGUGGCUUACACUUUAUACGUUAUGGAUCACUUCAUGGAAACAUUCUUGGUGAGGAUAAUAUCAAAAUUUUAUGUCUGUUGGGGGGGGGACAAAAGUUUCAUGCUAGUACAUCUGCUAGUUCACGUAAUGUCUUUAGUUGGUUCCUUCAUAAGUGUCAUAUAUCACUAUAUUAGAGCUGAUAUUUUUUUAUUUUUUAAUGCUGGGUUUGUGAUUAAAGCACUGUCCUAGUCAUUUCUCAUGUCAUUUUUUUCAUCUCCUGUUAUUUGAUUGCCUUUAAAUUUAUUUUUUUAAUUCUGUUCCCAGUUCCCACGUAUUAUUGCUUUGAAACUAUUUAAUUUGUACUUGUUCUCUUUUAAUGCUUAUAAGGGCUAUUAGGUGAAUCAAAAUAAAUAGCCAACAUAUCUUGGUUACUCAAAAAUUAAAUUCAUUAAAAGCAACAGAUCUUCACAGGGAAAAGAAAGAAAUAAAGGAAACACAAGAAGAGGAACAAAAAAAAAAAAUUCAAGUGGAGUGGAGAGAGCAUGCAUGAAGUGUGAGCAAUCUGUGCUCCCUUUUCUAUUUUAGCUGGACAGCAGUCACUGGGGAUCGUGAAAGACAAAAUACUGGUACUUUGUAGGUAUUCGCUUAUUUCAUGCUUACUGAUAAGUAGGCCUAAAGUAUGAGACCAAACAGCAGUUGAUCAUACACUAUCCUGUUCAAUAGCUGCUCAUAUACUAUGGAUCCUAAUGAGAUUAUUUAUAAUCUCCAUAGUGGAAAUAUUGGCAUGCCUCUGCAAUGGCAUGACUCAUUUGAGCUGAAACAAUCUGAAUUGAAAGUGUUAUCUUCACACCAAUUUAUUUCAUUUUUAGGUGAAUUAUGCAUGUGCUUGUGCUUACAGCAUGGUUUAUUCUCUUGUUAUUGGCAGUUCUUGUUGCACUGGUUAUGAUUAUUUCAAGUUGCCGAGUUGUACAGUUGUAUUUCUUGUUGAUCAAGAGAUAUGUAUAGUGACAAAACUAUUUUUUGUAUUUUAUUAGAAGUUGAGUGAGAUUUGUAAGGAAAGAUGAGAUAUUAUCAGAUGAUUUCUUUGGCAGCAGCUUCCAAUAAAUAUAAAAAAGAAAUAUUGCUUAUUCAUUAAGUUUCAAAGUAUACUCUACUGGUUUUCUUGUUCAGUUAAUUUCUUCUUUAUUUUGUAUUUGUUAAUAAAUGCUUGAUUACUUACUGAUUCCAUUAUGGUUUUGCACAUUUCUUCAUAUAUUUUGCCACUCAUCAUCUCUCCUGCUAGAUGUUUAAGACCUUGUUUAUAUGUUUCAGGGCUUGAAGUUGUACUAGCUGAUGGAACUGUUCUUGACAUGCUUGGGACGUUACGUAAAGAUAAUACAGGAUAUGAUUUGAAGCACUUAUUUAUUGGUACACAUAAAAUCAUAUCAAGAUCAGAUCUUGCUUUGUGUAUAAAUAAUUUUGGUAGUAGAGGAUAGUAGCAUAUGAAUAAUUUAACUGGUUUAGGCAGUGAAGGUUCUUUGGGGAUUGUCACGAAGGUCUCAAUACUUACGCCUCCUAAGCUAUUAUCGACAAAUCUUGCACUGCUUGCCUGUAAAGAUUUUUUAAGCUGUCAGGUAUGAAAUUCCUCCUUAUCUUUAUGUUUUGGUGUACUCUAUAAAAUUCAAAUCUUAAUGGUAUACCUGAAAAUUUAAGUGCAUAAUUAUUUGGUUAUUAUAGUUAUGUAACCAGGUGAAGAAUUUAAUAAUAGUUAUGUUCUUCAUUGAUAUCAAAUUAUUUUUAGGUUUUCGCUGGAAUGAUAGUAAGGAAAAAUGUUUUAAUGGUAAAAUUCCACAGACUCCAGAUCCUGGUUUGAAAUUAAGUGUAUUAAUUUAGAAGUAUUGAAGAAGUGAUAGCGGUGAGGACAGAGUCUUUUAAGGAGGCAUUUUAGCCAAGGGGAUAAUGAGAAAGCAACUAAGAUUUUUACCUCUCUGGUCAUGUAAGGAAGGGUGAUGUGCAAAAUUUUGCCCUUCAGUGGUUAAACAUUCAGCUACUAGAAGUCUAGAAACAUGUCUAGAACUUUUCAAGUUCUGCAUAAGCUUUGGACUUCUAUUUGGAUUGCACCAUCUGGAGGAUCGUGAUGCUGGAGUGGCACUUCCUCAUUUGGUCCAUUAAGAAUAUGAUAUAUUAAGCACUUUUCUAAUGCUUCAACUUCAUGCCUUCUUUAUGGCGCCAAAUCCAGACAUAUACUAGUUGCUGAAGGAUAUGAGUUUAGCUUCUUUUAUAUCAUUAUAAAAGUAUACUUCUGAGGAUCAAUGAUAUAUAAAUUGUCAGAACCUUUAUUAAUUAUUCUUAAUCUUAUAUUCUUAUGUUGAAGAUUGAACUAUGUGGCCACAGGCACCCUCUCCUUUCUCCUAUACACCACAGUAAAGCUGAUUCUUAAGGGUUCUUGCACCAAUUUUUAAUUCCCCAAACCUUUUUUUUGGUGCCACCAAAUACUCCUUGCAGCUAACUACCUGCCAUAUUGAUUAGCUCUGCAUUCAGCUCUUGCUACCAAGGAUGUGCCAUUCAAUCAAGCAGCCUUUUAGCUUUAUCCCACCAUUAUUGCUACAAAUACCUCUACUCUUAUGACAGGUAUUAGUGACACUUCUUUUAGUUAUGGUUGUUCUAUAACAGCACACUCUUAACUUUGUUUUGUUAAGUCACUCCCUUUACACUCUCGGAUCUUUUUGUAUGGUUAUAUCACCUCUUUUUGUAUUUCUAGAUUCAGUGUUGCCUUGAUAUAUUAAUAUCAUGUCACAUCUGAACUUCUUGACUUGAUAUCUUAAUAUCGUGUCAUGUUUCAACUAUCUUUCUGAUCUUUCUGAUUGGGACCAACAGCAGGUCCGGUUGCUUAAUAACAUAACCAUCUUGCCAUAUUUCUUCUUGUUCAGUAUUGGCAGUGGUGUCUUUGGAUUCUAUAAUCUAUAUAUUUGCUUUAUGAUACUGCAUAUAGAUCAUUUAUACAAUUUAUACACCAUGAUAUAGAUAUUUGGUUUGUAUUGGCUCCUGUGUUUCUUAUACCUCUUCUACACAUUGUAGGCCUGAACAUGUUUACGGUCAUCAUCGAUCCGUGGUUCUUUUCGAUAUUGAGCCUGUCAUCUCCAAUUCGCCUUAUGACUUGCUGCAUUCUAGUUUCCCCCUGAUUUUAAGAGUGGCUAAGAAUAUAUUUGUUAAUUGAUGGCGAUACUUGUUUUACAUGAUUACUUCUCAUGCAUAAUAAUCUGUAGGUUUAAUGUUUGAUCAAGUCUUUCUACCAUCAAUUUUUCUCAUUCUAUAGAGGCCAUUAAAAGUUUCGGUUUUUGACUUCUUUAAGUUGUCUAAUGACUUGCAGCACUGUGCAUCUUCUUUGUUUUUCACUUUUUCUUGUGUGCCUUCAGUGAAUUCUUUUUCUAUAAAAAACAAAGGCAGAUUCUAUCACAUCUUGGAGUUAGUACCAUCAUCUCCUUUGUGUGAUUCUUCCUACCAAACCUUCAGUCAAGAAUUGGAGAUUUCUUAGAUUAUACUUUAUUAAAUUAUCUUCCCCUUGUCAUAAUGAGCAUGUCUCCUUUUCAACAUUCAUGCUAUUGAUCUCCUUGCUAUUCUUAAUUUUGUGACAUUGGUUGCUUUUGUUUUGAUUUUCUUUAUCUUAUUGAAAUAACCAAAGCUAUAUGUCACUUGGCUAUGUCUGUCUUAUUGUAGACUUGAAGGACAUGCAUACAAUGAUCAUUUAUUUUGAUGGAUGCAGGGGUCUAGUGACAUCAACUUCUUUAAGCAUCUUCUCUUUUAUGCUCUUUACCAAUCUUGUCCCCCUCUCAUGCUCGGCAGUUUGCAUAGUUUUUGACCCUCUUCUUUAUCCUUUCCAUUGGCUGGGUGGUUGUUUUCUCAUUAUUCCUUUUCUUGAUUUUUAAACAUAUAUUAGACUGUCAUCAUGCAUUUACACCAGGAGAUCUAUAGUUAAAAUACUAUGGAUGCAUUAUGCAUUACUUGCGGCUUUUAAUUUUGUCUUUCUUAAUUUAGAUGAGAUCUUGUUUCUUCUUUUUCACUAUCCACUUUACUAGUUUAUUAUCGAAUUUUAACACUGCUAGUUCACUGUCCACUUUACCAUUGCCACCCCAUUGAGAUACUUGUAAUUUGAUUUGUACUAACUUUGCAACAGACAUCCCCAUGUACCAAUGUUACCUUAAUCAGCUUAUUCCCUCAUAGUUGCAUGCAGAUUGUGAUUCUACUGGUCUUCCACAAUCAUGACCAACUGAGCACAUUCUUUCCCUUUGAGAUAUUUAGACAUGAGAUCUUUUCCACCUCUUGCCCAUCAAGUUACAUAACUAUGAAUAGAAAUUUAUAUGAAUCAUCUUGUUAGUUUUGGCACUUUGGGAGUCCACUACUUCAACACAUUUGUUUGCAUCAAUUUUAUUAUAAUUAAGUUUUGUAUAUCCUUAUAUCUGCAAUUUACAUGAAUGAAAAAUAACUGCUUGCUCAUCUAAACAAAUCGAUGUGUCUUUUGUUACAUGUUGAAUUUUCAACAGGGGGGGUUGGCUACUACCAGUAGAUCUUGAUUCGUAAUAUUUUGGGUUGGUUCACCUACCCUUACAAGAAAUGAUAAGAUCAACUUAAGGCUUCUAUGAAACUACAUAUGUGUAUGGGCAUAGAUCAACUUGUGAAAGUAGAUGUUUCCCAAUAUGUGAUUCCAUUAGUAUCUUCUGGCCUGGACUUCAAAACUGGGAUCCAAGGAACCUUCAAAGUGGAUUAAAUUGUAAGGCAGGUUUCUUAACAAGCUAUGGAUUUAUUUUGAGAAUGGUUGAAGCAAUUUUUUUUUAGAUUUUGAAUGCCAGGAAAUAUAUUUGAGAUCAUGCUAAGGUUUUGUCAACUUUAGCAUCUAAGGUUGUUCAAGAGUUGGGGUUCAACGAAAAGCUUUAGUUCUCUAAUUUUUAACCUAAGAGAACAUUUUGUAAAUGAUACCAUCCAAUUGUUGCUUGAUGGCCUCUUAACAAUGCUUGAACUCUACAAAUGGCUAGUUUAUUUAUGAAUAAAACUUAUAAUUAUGAUUACAUCUUUGUGUUUGUUUUGUAUUUCAUGGAUGCGAAAGUGAUUUAUCUAAUCACAAUGGUGAUUCUUUUAGAUACAAGGUAAAAGAACUUUAUUCUAUAGCCAAUUAUACGAGUAUGCAAAUAUUCUAUAUUGUUUUACCAGAAGAUUUUAAGAAUAUUUAGUGUCUGGCACUGACAAUCAUGCCAUUAGAAAACACCUGUGUAAGACACACACAUGAGUGUAUGUAGAAAAGUAGUCUAUCAAGGUAUGCAUGUAUACAGUGGAGGGACACAUCAAUAAACCAAGUCUUUGUGUUUGAUUUUUCAUUUUUAUUUUUAUUUUUCAUUUUUUUAUUUUUUAUUUUUAUUUUUGUCUUUUGCAUGAAUUCUGGUGAUUUCAAAAUCCAUUGAUCCGAUACUCAUCAGUUGACUUAUUUUUUAUGCUUUCAGAAGUUAUUACUGGAAGCCAAGAGGGAACUAGGUGAGGCUAUUUCUGCAUUUGAAUUUAUGGAUAGCGAUGCUAUGGAUAUGGUAAGUUUAUGUGUACCGUGUUCUCUUUUUUCCCCCCUUUGUUUUUUUUUUUUUUUUUUGCAUUAGACACAUCUUCUACUUGUAAUUUUCAAUCUAUCUGAUGGUCAUCACCUAUACUGUAUUUUAUGCUAAUUUCUGAUAAUUUGGUAAGACAUUAAUGCCUCCAAUUGCGAAAUGUAUUGUUUUUAGUUAAAUGAAAUUCAGAGGCAAGUAGAAGUACUUCAGUUGAUCAUUGUGUUUAAAUAUUAUAUUAAUAUGUCAGUUGCACCUGAAAGUCAGCCUACGUUUCUUCGGGUAUAAAUGGCUUUAGGAGUGGUAUUGGUGGCUUUUUAGCCAUUGAUGUUGAAAUUUUAAAAGAAACUUGUGCAUAUUAAUAAAUGCAUCAUUAUAAAUCUACAGUAAGUAUUGGUGAAUAACUUAUUAGCUUCACUAUGGAAGUUGAGAGAGGGUGAGAGGGAAACAUGAUGUUAGGUUAUGGCUGGAUGCUGAUGGUAGUUAAUUAACAACUAAGGUGAUUUUCUUGCCUUGCCAGUUGGUGGGAACACUUAGGGUGAAAAAGAGGAACCACACAUCAUUAAGCUGGAAAAAGAAUGUAAUAUCAUGCUGUUUAAGGUUUAGUGUUCUAUAAAAAUGUGAUCUAUUCCCCUAUGUAACAAUAGGAUCAUCAAAGAAAUAUAUGAGAGUGUAACUACAACUGUGUGAAUCAUUUGUGCUCUGUAGGUAGAGCCUUGACAGACGCAUGUUGUGGAGGCUUGGGGAAAAUGCGGGAAGACAACAAUCAGGCCUGCUAUAUUGUAUGAAUUGAAGCAUUUGACAAUGUGAGAAAUGCAUUCACAAAAGAUAAAUAAAGCAAUAAUGAAGAUACGAGGGGUUCUCAAGGAUAAGGUUAAAAAUGAAAAAUUACAAAGAGCCUGGAAGUUCUACUAAUAGAGGAUAAAUUUUGGGAAAUACUGAUCCAGAUGGUUGGUGAUCUAUAGUUUGAAGAGUAAGAGAUCUUAUUAAAAGGAUAGGGCAGAUGGAAAGGUGCAGGCAGACAUAGAUGAGGCAAGGUGGAGAUUUAAGCUUUAGACUCGUUGGAAUGUGCAUUUUGGUACCAAAAAAUUUGAAAGGUCAUUAUUUAAAUUUUUUUUAUUGGAAUUAAUUGACUGGUAGUCUGGUAUAAUAAGACCUUGCAUUCAAGUAGUUGAGCUUCCGGCAUACUGUGGAAUUAGUUCUAGUUGUAAUGUAGUGCUAGACUAGAAGGAUACUAGUACUAGAAGCUUUGGCAUCCGAAUUAGAGUUUAGGAGGCACCUUUUCUGGCUGCCCUUCUCCACAGCUAACUGGCUUAGCUGCAUAAGCCAAGCAUGGUUGUACUUAUAUAAGGUCAUCAUGGGGUUAUGUAGUAGUUACAAAAUUUUGUUCAAUCUUUAGUCACCACAUGUCCUUGGUUAGUUUCAUAUUCUAUGACCAAUCCCAUCUUUGAUGGGACAAGGCUGCUUUUGUUGUAGUAAUUUAAGUUGGUUGCAGUUGCAUCUAUUUUCUCUGUGUUUUCUUAAUUCACCAUAAUUAGUUGUAAUAUGAUGCAUAAAUCUAAUGGUGCAUUUUGUUAUCUGAAAAUUGUGGUUUAGAUUCAAAUUUUAUUUUUAUAAUAAGUCUAUGCUGUCAUUUGAAAUUGCCAUUCUUUCUAAGGCUAACUGCAAUCAAGUUUUCAUUACCAAAGUGCCCCACAGAGUAGUGCCCACCAGCAGAAAAAGGAGAAAAAGGCCUGAAGAUCCCCUGCAAGGUUCAAAGUUCAGAGUUCAAACACUUAACAAGGACCUAAAAUCUUCAAGAUUUUUUCUUUAGAAUGUCUUUGUCUAGUCAUACAACAAAAUACAAAUCUUCCGAAGGAUUUCAUUUUUUGGUGAAAAUUUACCCAGCCUUCCCUGACUAGAUGCACCAGCAAAUUGCUGAGACGAGAAUUGUACCCUUUAAUCCAAGCACUUUACCUUAAAGAUUCUCCAGGACUACUGAAGCAGAGUCAGAUCGCUGGACAGUUGUUUGAAAUGCUGAUCUUACUAUGUUUGAAAUGCCGCUGAAUGAAUUUGAUGGAUCAUCAAUUUAGAAAGAGGUGACUAUCCAUUUCCAAAUGACUAGCAGAAAAAAGACAACCUUGUGAAGCCAUCCAGUUCCUCUUGCAUAGGUAAUACCAAUUCAGCAUCUUAUUGUUAAUAAUUGUAAGCCACGAAAAUUUUAACUGUCUGGGACCAGGCACUUUCACAGAGAGUUAGCACUGACUUUCUGAGAUGAAACCUUCGCUGUUGAUAAACUUAUUGAAGAAUCUAACUGAGAAUAGAGUCAUCUCAUCUCCACCUGCAAGUGGCAUUCCCUAAGGUAAGACAGACCUCUUCAAGUAUGUUUCAUAAUUUGUGUAAAGUCAUCCUCUACCAACAUUUAGAAGAUUAUAAGGUUCAGGAGACCAUAAUUUUCUACAGUUGCUGAUUCCAGCUUGUUUGUAGAUCAGACUAUUCUUAUUAUCACAUAUUUUGAAAAGCCUUGGGAAUAAAGUACACAAAAGGUGUCUGCCAACCAUCAAUUCUCGAGCCAACAGGGAAGACUUCUACAACCUGAGGCGGAUCUCCUUCAGUUGUAGCUUAUCAUGAUCUGGUUCCUCCCAGAUGGCUCUGUACCUUGUAAGAAUUUCACCACCACUUACCCUGCAAGGCAAUAUCAAAGUGCACUGAGGUUUUUAUCAUCCAUGCCUCCCUCACCCUUUACAGUGUUCUUGACUCUCAACAAAAUGUCCCUUAGGGAUGAACAUAAUCGACAUAAAAUGCGCUGACCAUCUACUUUUUCUGGACUGAACCUUUAUUCACCAAGAUUGUUUUGCAUGCCUCCACAUUAUGACAAUUUUUAUAGUGAUUUAGGAAGCUAUUCUUAAUCCAUAGAUAUUGUAAACUGUACUCAUGCUUCUUGAUGUAAUUCUGACUGUUCAUAACUGUUUCUCAAGGCAAAAUGUUUAAAAACUCAACUUUCCAGGUGUUAUUUAUAUAUCAGACUUCUAAUGUUUUUGUUUACUUGGAUAUGAAGGUCUUGGCUCACAUGGAUGGAGCUCGCAAUCCAUUUCCAUCCUCAUCAUACAAUUUCUAUGUUCUUAUUGAGACUACUGGUAGUGAUGAAUCAUAUGAUAAGUAAGUUGGACAUCUUGAUAUUUGACAAUCAUGAUCUCUGUUUAUUGUUUAACAUGCUUUUCUAAUAUGUUCCUCAUAUCAUGUUACCCAAGGCAUUUAUCCUUUCUAGUUUUUGUUUAAUUUCCAAGUUCAGUUUUUUUUGGAUUUCUGAGUAAUGACAGCCUCAUGUAAUAUAACUGGUGGUUCCUUGCAGAUUAUGUCUGUAAGAUAAAAACUUGUAUGAUUUUUCUUCUUGCUAAUGUAGGUAAUUUCUUUUGGAAAAAAGUGGAUCCGCAUGUAUGUUACUUUGAAAGAAAAGAAGACAUUACAAUAAUCGGGCCCUUUGCACUUUGGUGACAUUAUGAUUGUUGGAAGAAAAAGAUGUUGAAUAGGCAAAGCAAGAAAAGGAAGCAAAUAGACUUAAGACACAGUAAUAAGAAUAAGUAUUAAAAGCAAGGUUUUAUGUCUUGGUGGGAUGGGGGGUGUCCUGGCUAUCCUGUCCCUUUUCUAUGAGAAAACGGGAUUGGGAUGGGCUCAUGACUCAAAAUCCAUCCACACAGGGAGAGAAGAAGAAAGAGGAAAGAAGAAAAGGAAAGAAAGAUGAAGGAAAAGAAAAAAAUGAAAGGAAAGAAGAAGAAAAAUAAAAAAAAGAAGGGAAGGGAGAAGAAAAAGCAAGACAAAGGAGAGGAAAGAAAGGAAGGUAGAGGAAAAGAAAGAAAAGAAGGAAGAGAAAAAAAGAAAGAAAGAAAGAAAGAAAAGAAGAAGGGAAAAAAGAUGGAGGAUAUCCACCAGGAUACAUGAUCGGGAUUACUGUUAUGACAGGACGGGAGGGGACAACGGGGCAUCCCAUUCUAUAGGACAUCUUUGUUCCAUGGGAUUUAAAACCUUGAUUAAAAAAAUCGUGACCUGGAAAAAAAAAAAGAACAUUAGUCCAUUGAAUAGCAUUAGCACAAAUUGGAACACUACUGAAUAUCUAACUUGAAUUGGAGAAAUUUGGUGGCAUUAUUAACCACAAGCAUCAAUUUUCUCUUGUAUUUUAGGAUGAUCAAUGCUCUACUUUCUUUCUUUACUAUUAAUCCCCUACAUACAUGGCAUGUAAUUUUGUCCAACAGUAAAUUUCGUAACUGAUUAGCCUAUUGUUUUUUUUUGUUGUAAACAUAAGUUUAUCCUGAUUAUUAAUUGGGUUAGUCUAGUUCAAGCUCCUUGACAUGGACCCAGACUAUGCAGAUUAAUAAGUGGGCUAGUUGUGCCAAUCUAUUUAUGAUCCAGAUCAAUUACUUCCAUCCUAGACCCAUUAGCUUUGUCUUGGGUGGCAGGUUCUUCAAGGAUUGUCACCCAAACAAUAGUUUAAACGUAGUAUACAUCAAGAUUUUGAAUAUUGGUAUCGGUGGCCAUUCCAACUGGCCGACGGCACGGUCCGGCAUGGCACUGUAUCGGAUCGGAUCGGUGCGAAUCGAUGAAGGGAGGAAGGGAUGAACCGGGGAGGAAAAGAGGGGAAGAGAAAGAGAGAGGGGAGGGAAGGUGGUUGAGGCGGUGGAGACGCCGUUGGUGGCCACUUGAGGGCUGCAUGGGCCCUUUUAGGGCCACGGUGGCCACCGUGGCUCCACGUUGUCCACGAGAGAAAAGAGAGGAGAGAGAGGGAGGAAGAACUAGACUGAGGGGGGUCCGACGAAGAGGCCGUCGGAGGGCAUCCAGCUGGCUACGAUGGUCAUCACGCCAUCAAGCGGUAUAAACACCACCUCCGGCUCUGUAGUCAUGAAACAGGGGCUUAAAGAAUUUUUUUUCAAGGGCUUUUUUAAAAAAGCCCGACAAUAGUGAAGUCGGCAAUGGGUUUGCUGGCUUCACUGUUUCUGGACUUUUUUAAAAAAGUACUGACUUCAUUAUUUUUGGACUUUUUUAUCCUAUUGCCGGCUUCACUGUUUCUAGACUUUUUUAAAAAAAUACUGACUUCACUGUUUCUGGAUUUUUUUAAAAAAGUAUUGAAAUAGUGAAGCUAGCAAAUCGAUUGCCAACUUCAGUAUUUUUAAUUUUUUUAGAAUUCUUAAAAAGUAAAGCCGGCAAACCAAGUGCCAGCUUCACUAUUCAUCUUCCUUUUUAAAAAAUGACCAACACGUGAAUAGGGGUGGUUGUCCUUGUUCCACGGCCGUGACUCUGCUUGCACCACUUCCGUCAUCCGGUGGCCACGACGGCUAUCCAUAGACCUCUAGUGGGCCCUCCGCCGUCCCGUCCUCCCAUCUCUGGCAGUCUCUCUUCUCUUUCUCACUCAUUGCGGCAGUCCUAUCGGACGAAUCGAGCUACAGAGGCUUCCGCGGCCCUCCGACGGCCACAGAGGGCCACAACCGGUCCCUGGCAGCCUCUCCCUCUCCUUCUCUCUCUCUCUUUUCCUCUGUUUUCCUUUCUUUCUUCCUCGGCACCGGCAUAUGCCGUUUUUCCUCCUGGAACCAUCCCGUUUUCUUGCCUGUCCAAUUUGGCAUGCCCCAACCUGUCCAAUUUGGAAUGGUUCUGAAAACCAAAUACUAUACAUAUUAUCUGCUAAAAGUGCAACAAUUUGCUUACAUGACAUAAGGUGAUCAUGGCACCAAUAUGUCAGUGUACACACAUAAAGAGUACAAAGUACAUAUCCAAUCUGUAAUCAUCAUCUAAUGUGAUGGUGUACAGGCACACAAAUUGUCAUGAUUCAAUAAGUCAUCAGUAAUUUGUGUUAAUAGUCAACACUCGGCAGAACAUAUUGAAUCAUGCCAAAGUUAAAAUCAAGUGUUCAUCUUGAUCAACUCUAAUCUUAUCCCAAAUUAUCAUUAGAUAUGAAUUGUUUAAGGUGCAAUGCAUACAAGGAAACAAACCUUUUCAGUAAAAUAAGCGUUAAGAUUAUAAAAUUUAAUUCCCAUGUCACCAUUUAUGCAAUUUUAAGAUAUGAACAUCAGCAUAUUAUAGUUGCAAGUUCAUAAAAUAUCAAUCUACGAGUUACAUCCAUGAGUAUAAGCCUUUAUACUAGGUAUUCCUAUCUUUUUACUCUCCCAGCAUCAUUAUUUGUCCUUCACAUUAGAGAAAAGCCAAACAACAACAUGUGCCUGUCUUUGGAGUUAGCCUUGUACAUUGAAGUUAGCUGCUGUUUUAAAAUGAAGAUCCGUUAUGGGAUAUUAUGGGUUGAGGUCAUCGCUGCUUGUUGUGUCAUUCAAAAGAAAAAAGAUGCUUUUUGUAACUUUGUUCAGAUCUAUAAUUUUGUAUUUUCUUAUAACCGCCUUGUUUUGAAGUUGUUGAGUUUAUAUGGUUUGCCUUCUGAUAUAAGCCAAAAAGCUGAAUCACCUAAUGAAAGAAAAAUAAAUUGUUAACGUUAACUUUCUGGACCAAAAUCCUUUCAAAGUGCAAUAUGUUUUGGAUAUAGCUUAAUUUUUGCUUUUGACUUAACAAUGUCAUUUGGGAUUAACAUUACAUGAUAGGUUUAUGUUUUAAUGUUCUUCAUCUAUUACAACUCAAAUUGGUCUAAUGUUGUGCAUUAUCUUCAAUGUUCUCAUUUGAUAUGAAAUAAUUAUUAAGGUCUAACAUCUUCUUUUGGUAACAAUUUGUAGAGCAAAACUUGAAGCUUUUCUAUUACGCUCAAUGGAAGGUGGUCUUAUAUCAGAUGGUGCAAUUGCUCAAGAUAUUAACCAAGCAUCCUCAUUUUGGCAAAUUCGUGAGGUUUGUCUUUUACAGUUUAUAUUUCUAGUUUUUUUCUUCCCCAAAAUUUUUGCUACCAUGUCUCUGUCAUAAUUUUAUGUUCCUCAUUUAAUUCCUCCACCCCGUCUUUUCCUUGGAGUGGGAUCCAAAAUUAAGAUCACGGGUACCAUAAAUCUUAAGCUAGACAAUAGCUGGACUAGAAAAAUAAACUAGCAAAACAUUCAGCAAGCAUUAAAGUAUUGCAUGUUUUGCUUAUGUUGGUUAGGAGCCAAUGGGGCACAUUUAUUGUUUAACCAGCUUACACUGGCUCGGGAGGAUAUGCUAAGACAGUGUUCUUUAAUGUUGAAGAAAAAAUUUAUUUGCUUGAUACUAAUACAUAUCAUUAAUCAAGUUGGCGGUGUUCAAUGUUUUGCAAUGCUUAAAUUAUAUGAAUAUUCAAAGGGAAACAUGCGACCAUGUUCCCACAUUAAUAAUCCAGUUGGUGUCAUUCACAUGCUGCAAAUAUUAUGAAAAGCUCAUAUACUAUAAGUCCAUAAUACUCGGGUAACUGUAUUAAAUAGUUUAAAAUCCAUAAUUUGGACUGAAUUUUGGAUGGUGUUUUAUAUGGUUUUCUGGUUUAUUUUUGCCUUUGAGAUGUUGCAACUCCAUUUAUCAAAAGUCAUCAUUUUAAGCUUUCAUGUAGACUCCUAGUGAUUAAGGGGAAUUUUGGAGGGUUGCUUCUUGUUGCUGUGAACUUGAACUGCAGCCAAUAUUGUAGGUUUCCCUUGAUUGGCCAUAUAUUUUCAUGACAAGCCCUUCUCUUGCCUAACUUUGCCUUUACAUUUUCAUUGAGCCUUCUAUACUUAGAGCCAACCCCAUAAUUAGUGGGAAAAGUGUUGCUGCUGCUGCUGAUGUUAUUCUGGAUUGAAUCUGUGCUUUCCUAGACUGUGGAAAGCAUUCUACAAAAUAACUUCAUGUACUGUGGAUGGGAAUAUCUCCAUUUAUAUUGCACCACACAUAAGUCAUUGGUCUAAUCAUUUUAAUCUGGAGCAUGGACGCUAAGCUUUUAAUUUGUUUCUUCUUAGUUUUAUGUCAUCUGCAUCUGAUGCAACCUGGGAGUGAUCUUAAAUACUCCAUCACCAUCAUUUGUAAAAAUAUUCCCCCUUUUUUUAUUAAUUUAAAAUGUUAUUGAUGACUUGGCAAUGAAGUGAUUAAAUUCUUAAAUUGAUCAGAAAUUGAUGUUCAGAAAAGCCAUGUGUUGGCAGGGUAUGUCAGAAGCAACGGUGAAAGCAGGAGCAGUCUAUAAGUAUGACUUAUCACUACCUGUUGAAAAACUCUAUGAUAUUGUUGAAGAAAUGCGUCCACGGCUUGGUAGUUAACUUUACUAUUGCUUCAAUUUAAUAUUGUAAAUGUAGCUUGCAAACUGUUACUGUCUUUUGUAAUUUAGUCUCUCUUAUUUUUCAUAAUUCAGCCAAUGUUGGCGUACAAAUUUGUGGUUCUUGGUAAUUAUUUGAUCUAGUAUGUCUUGAUUUCACACCUCAGGUGAGAAAGCUAAGGUAGUGGGGUAUGGCCAUCUUGGAGAUGGAAAUCUGCACUUAAAUAUCAUAACAAAGCAGUAUGAUAAUAAUGUAAAUCUCCUCAUUUGUGGUUAACAGCUCAUAGCAGAAUGAUAUUUAUUUACCAUAUCAGUGGUCUCAUAUGUAGUAAAUAUUGCAGAUUCUUGCACAAAUUGAACCUUUCGUCUAUGAGUGGACCUCAACACAUAGAGGAAGUAUCAGUGCAGAACAUGGUUUAGGAUUGAUGAAAGCAGACAAGAUUCAUUACAGCAAGUCUCCAGAAACUGUAAAUAACUUCCGCUUGCUUGUCAAAUUUAUCAUUAAUUGUUGAGUUGCUGCAGUUCUUACUCCCCUCUCAGAAUUCAGUGUUGUCUUCAGUGGUAUUAAUUACUUUAAAUAUGUUAAUAUGUUAGUUGCUUCAACAAAAUUUGUUUUUCUUGAACUGCAUUAGGUUCCCAGAACCACAGUAGUGCAAUUCAUAUGAUCAUAUAUGUAAUUUGUACUAUUUCUUUUGUGAAUACAGAGCUUUUGUAUGCUCCUAGGAUCAAGUCUCCUAAAAUUACUGACAUUGUAAAUACCAUACCUUGAAUAUCAAUAUGUAAGAUUUUAAAUAUGGUUGAAUGCUGGAGAAACCAAUUUGGUAACUGCUAAAUGUGUAGUAACAUAACUCUUUCAUGGGUUUUCAUCUCUAGAAAUCUUGAAGAUUUUGGUUUUUCUCAUACUUUAUAUGAAAAAAUUCUAACUGAGAUUAUACAGAUACCAACUGCAAUUGUGCAUUUAUCAAGUCAAUGGACUAGAUGAAUAUCUUGAAAAUUUAAAUGUUCAUAUUUUACAUAUUAUCUGAAUGGUAUGGUAAGAUAACGUUUAUGAUAAAGUUACACCUGGUGUAAUUAUUAUAGAGAUUUGCACCUUUUUUUGAAUUGGACAAUGGGGAGUGCCAUAUCUAAGCCAUUGGAUGUGAUCUGUUAUUAUCUUUAAACUGUUUGCAUACUAAAAAUCAUAUGAUUUGGAGUUCUUUAGUCUAUGCAUCAAGUAAUAAAAAAUUAGAUAGUUCAAAUAAUAUGAACAAUAUAUUUUUUUUGACUAUUUGAUACAUAGGCUAGGGGUCUCAAAAAUCACAUAGUUUUUAUAUGCAAAUAGUUUAGAGAUAAUCGAUCAUAUUCAACAGCUUGGAUGAUCAAUGUAGGUCCCUCACAUGUAAUCUAAAAAGGGCGCAACUCUUAUGUUACACCAAGUGUAAUUUGAUCACAAACCAAAAGAAAUAUUUGUUAUCCUAUAAAAGAAACAGCUAUAUGGCCAAAAAUUGUUAGCUCAGUUGGUUGGAAUGACUCUGAUUUAGGCUUGCCCUUGGGGGAGAUCUGGAGGGUUCAAACCUUUGUGGUUGUGUAAAAAGUAAGAUGUGUACAUUUUUCCCCUUCUUAUCAAAUUUGAAAUGCCCUGAGAUAACAGGGAGAUCUUUGAAAAAUCUAGGGAGUUUGAUACUUUUUCUUUUUACACAAGUGUUGAUAGUUCAUCUAGAAUUAGGAUGAUGUAUGAAGCUGAUCACACAGGGUGGCACCAUUGUGUGCUCAUCUAAAGAUGAAUUUAUGAAGCUGUACAAGUGUGCCUCCUCUUACUUUUUUUUUUCAGUACAUAUGAUGAUGAAUUUAUGAGUUUGAAUUUCAAAAUCAUCGCUGUUGUCUGAUGCUAUUUAGUGCAUUGUGGGUUUUCAUUAAUAAUUAUAUAAUGUUGAAGUUCUUAUUUCUCAAUUGUGUAUUCUGUGUGAGCAGGUGCAACUAAUGGCAUCUAUCAAGAAAUUAUUGGACCCCAGUGGGAUAUUGAACCCUUACAAAGUCCUCCCUCAGUCCAUGCUACAAUAAUGUUCUUCAGUAAAAAUCCAUCUGAAAGAUUCUAGUUCAUGCAUGCUGAUUUUUCGAGAUGUAUGUUUAAUUAGGUGCCACCAGUGGCUAUUGUCAUCAAACAAAUGGUUCAUAAUAAGAUGGUGAAAUUUUAUGAAGUUUCACUACAUUUUAUGUGUAGAGUCUUGAUCAUUUCAGCGGCUCAGCCAGACAUGUUUUGUUUUAGUUCAACUUAUUGACAACAAUCUGCAACCAUGUUAGAUAUGUAUUUCCUGGGAUGUUAUAAUCUUACCACCUCACCCAACAGAUAGAAUAGAGGUUGCAAACUGAAGGUAAGAAUAAAUAUACUAGAAAAUGAAGUAAUAUUUUUUUUUGGAUGAUGUUCUCAUUGUUUGAUGCCUCUUUUUGGUUCUACAUAUGUGUAUAAAUAUAUAUUAGGAUGCUUUAUUAGAAUUUGCAUUGUCAUUCUAAAUUAUAUUCUUUCAAUCUUGAAUCAAAUCAAUUGGACAUUUAGACAGUUGGAUAAUUUUAUUUACGGCCUACAAUCCAUGAUUUAAUCCUUUCCUCUGGAAGUAAUGCAUGGAUAGGAAUCACAAGAAAAAUGCUUCGCCUGCGGGCUCUCUUACCUACUGCGGAUUUAGCACUUGCAGACUGGCGGCUCCUACCUGAGGGACUAAAUGGAUGGCCCGCACAAAUUUAGAAAUGGUCAGGAUUGGUGAUUUGCGCUUGCAGAUCGAGAAAAUUAGAUGCGACGGAGGGUCGGGUAGCACAAGCUUCCAAUGUUUGGAAAUGGGUUAAAUGGCAGUACGAGACAAGUUCAUGGUCGACCAUGCAAGAAAGAUACGAUCUCUACUUUCUAAUCCGAACAGCAAGGGUAGCUCUGAAGGUAUAGGUGAAUCACAUACGAUAUGGUCGCAACAGGCGAGGCUAAAAGCCCUCUGAGGUAUGUGCUUUGUGAAGGUGGGGAAGCUAACAUCAUCCAUCCAAUUGAAUGGUAUAUGUUAUAUUUUUGAGAAAGUUUUUGUGCACCGCGUGUGGUGCAAAAAACUUAGUGUGGAGCGUAUCAUCUAAUUAUAUUGAAGUAUAUAGUCAUUAUUUUUCAAUACGUAUUUUUUUAUUUUUUCGUUUGAAAUUUUGAAUGACAAAAAUAUCUUUUUUAUUUUGAAAAAAUUAUAACAUCUUGAAAUCAUAUUAUAAUAUCUUAUAGUCAAAUUAUAGCUUUUUAUACAUAAAAUGUUAUAAUUUUUCUUUCAGAAGUCUUAAAGAGAGAAAGAUAUUUUCACCAUUAAAAAUUUAUGAAAUUUUUAAAUAAUAAAAAUAUCUUUUAUAAUAUUUUGUUUUUCAAAUUAUGAGUAGAAAAUCAUAAUUUGACCACAGGAUGUCAUAAUAUGGUCACAAGAUAUCAUUAUUUUUUUUAAAAAAAAAGGAUAUUUUUGUCAUUCAAAAUUUAAAUAAAAAAGUAUUAUUGUAGACAUUAAAUAUGCAUUAAAAAGUGAUGGCUAUUAGGAGUGAAUACGGUACGGUUUGGUUCGGUUUGAAGGUUAAAUCAAAUCAAACCAUUUUAAAACAGUUUGGGAUUUUUUUUAACCAAAUCGAAUCAUUUUACCUAUUGGAACUGAAUCGAACCGAACCAUUUUAGGCGGUUCGGUUUGGUUCCAAAUCGUUUCACAUAUUAUUUUUUUCCUUCCUGGUCGAGAAUGUAAUGAGCAAAUUCAAAAUAAAAUUUUUAUAAAUCAAUAAAAAAGUGCAAGAUAAAACCAUCAAUAUCUAAUGGACUAGAUAAAUCUUAAAUAUAAGACAUCUACUUCAAAUUCCAAACUCAAAUAUAACACAUUAGUCAAACAAUCUAAAGAUCCAUGGAACACCCACUUCAAAUUCCAAACUCAAAUGCAAUUAUAUAAGACAUCAAUCAAGUCAUAUUGUCGAAAAAUAAAAAUAGACACUAGUUAAUAAUUAUAUGCUUCUUUCUUUGAACAUUAGGAAACCAUUAGUCAUUAUCUUGCAUAGCUUGAACUCGAAAUGAAUUCAAAGGGCAACAAUGCAAAACUGGAAUCAUGAUAUUUGGAGACAAACCUAUAAAAAUUAAUGAUACCUCAACAUCAAUGUGUGAAAGAGAUAAAUAAUAAACAACUACCAAUAAUGUAAACAAAACUUAAGACACCUGCAUAAGUAUUACCUAUGAAGAUUUAAGACCAAGCAUUACAUAUUUAGCUUUAGGCACUCAAUAUACGUUACAAGCAAUUACAUUUACAACUCAAAUUUGAUAGUUCUUUGGUUGGGGAAAGAACUCAUCGAUCGUAAGUAGAUCAAGCAAUAUCAAUAACUUUUGAAGUCAAACUCAAAUUUGAGAGUUCUAGAGAAAAGGAAAAAAAAAGGAAAUGAGUGAUGUUGUACCUUGACAAAUGCAAAAUAAUAAAUGAAGUAUGAUAAUUGAAAAUUCUAAUGAAAAUAUUACCUCCAUCUAGCACUUUAAUUUUCUCUAUUUUUUCUGAGAUAUUGAUUGGAGUUGGCGAUGGUUGAAGCUAAUCUUGAGUACAAAGAAAUGAUUCUACUAUCUUAGGAGACAGAGCUUCUAAAGUAAUCAAGCAUUCGACCACUAGUACUAAAAGUUGAUUCUGAUGUAAUUGUGAAGACUGGAACAGCUAAAAUAUCACGUGCCAUCUGUAAAAGAAUAAGACAUCUAGGAUUAUUUAUUUUCCACCAUUCUAGGAUAUCAAAUGACUCAUCUUCAUCAUCCUCGUUAUCUUCAUCUAGAUACCUAUCCAGUUCAGACUUGGCAUCUGCACCUUGAACUUUAGCCUUAUGUUGCUUAAAAUAAGCUUUCAUGAUAUUCCUCAUUUGUAGUUUCGGUUCAACAUCAAAAGUGUCUGAUCUUGAACCUCCACUUUGAACUUUAGGGGUAGAGCAUCCACUCAAAAUCUUGUACUCCUCAAACAAAGCAUGCAAAAUUAUUUUCACCUUCUCACUCACUAUCCCAACCUUCUCAUUUUCAUACAUUGAUGUAAUAGCAAAAUCCACAAACUCCAUCUUGUAUCUAGGAUCAAUGAUCAAGCAAUAAACAAUAAAACAUUCAACUUUUCUGGACCUCCCCAAUACUUAUCAUACUUUUCUUUCAUUUUUUUAGCCAUAUCCUUCAAUUUAAAGUUAUCGCUUGCGCAACAUUCUUUUAACAUUUCAAGAACAUUGCUCACUUCAUGCAAAUACAAAUUAGAGGUAACAUACAAUGCACCCGACACAUGCAAAGGAAGAAUAUAAAACUCUCCAACAAUUUCACUAACUCCCUCACUUUGUCCCAAUCAACAUCUAUCGAUCUUCCCAAACCUCCUCCUUCACUAAGUUCAGAAUUAAAACUACCAUCUUCAUCUGCAAACCUCUUAAAAGCAUCUCUAAACUUUUCAGCUAUAUCCAACAUCAUAUAGGUAGAGUUCCAUCUAGUUGGUAUAUCAAGACAAAUCAAACCUUUUGAAUUUCUGUAGCCACACAACAAGACUUGAAUUUUUGUAUUCUAGCUAGAGAUUGCCUUACAUACCUCACCGCAUUACGAACACGAGUAACAAAGUCAUUUGCAUACUUCAAUCCAUCACUAACAAUCAAGUUCAUAAUAUAAGCAACACAUCUCAUAUGUCAAAGCUAUCCCUUCAAGACAACAUCUCUAGUUGUUGAUUCUUUUUUUUUAGUAUGAAACGGCAACAUUGUUGGAAUUUACAUUAUCAACAGUAAUAGCUAUAAGCUUUUCAACAUCCCAGCUAUUGCAACAUUUUUCAAUUGCCUUUUCAAUAGUCUCAUCUUUAUGACUUGAAAUUGGAUAAAAAUUUAUUAUUUUUUUACGCAAAGUUCAAUCAUUAUCAAUAAAGUGAGCUGUGACAUACAUAUAAUCAAUUUUCUAAAUAGAAGUCCAUGUAUUCAUGGUUAGACAAAUCCUUCUACAAUUUAUUUCCAAAAGACUAAUUACUUUCAACCUCUCUUGUACAAAUAUCUCAUAACAAUCUCUAACAACUGUAAAUUAUGAAGGGAUGUGAAACUUAAGCUGAAGAGCAUUGCAAAUAUGAUAAAAUCCUUCAUCUUCAACAAACUUAAAUAGAAGCUCAUCAACAACAAUCAUGUAUGCCAAUGCCUUCCUAAUGGCCUCUUGAUCGAACCUCCAACUAGUUAAGGUGCUUUUUCUAUCACUCUCAACCUUAUGAUAAUUCAACUCUAUUUAUUUUGCCUCGGAAUGAUUAUUCUUGUUGUAUGGGUACUUCUUACACCUACUAGUCAAGUAAGCCUAGUGCUAGUGCCAUAUCUCUUGAGAUCACAUUUACACACUAUGCUAUAAUGAUUGCACUUAUAUUAGUGUUCGUUGUCUUUUUCACUAAUUUUGGUAAAAUAAUCCCAUACAUCCACCCUUUGCUUCACUAUUUUCUUUCUUUUUCCUUUUGAAGAGCGAGAGGGUUCUUCCUUUGUACCUGUGAGAAUAGAAUUAGAACAUUUAAGAUUAUGCAGAGUUUCAUUCGUGUGUGACAUCUGAAAAAAAAAAAAUAAAUAUUAACAUAAUUAUAUAAGCUCACAUUUUAAUCUCAUUAUACAAACUCACGUUGCACGAUUCAUUGACUGACGCCAUGUGGAUGUCUUAAAAGUGGAAUUAUUAUUAAAUACCUAUAGGUUGCAACAAAAAAAAAAAUAGGAACGUUACGGUUUAAUGUGUAAGUUCAACUUUUGAGAUGAUUUUAUUUUUGGCUAGAUAAUUUUUGAGAUGAUUAAGCAUCAAACUAUGACCCACAUUUCCUGCUUUGAUUUGCAUCAACAAAAUAUGUAAUUGAUUGCUCUGGUCUUGCUUAACAAAUGAAAUAUCAUUGAAAUCUCUUCUCAAUUCGCAAAAUAUUUAACUUUUGACGAUCAAUAAAACCCAGUACAAAUCACUCUCAAACAGAUUUUGCAAAGAAUCUUCUCAUCUACACAUUCUGUCAGACACCUAAAUGGUACUGCAAAUAAAAUACGAGCUCGAAGACUUGUGCAAUCAUAUGCACAAUUCGAUAGUAAACAAAAAUUUUUCAUGAAAUUUUAUCAUUAAAUAUCUAAAAUUUUUCAUUUUACUACCACAUAUAUACACGGCGAACAAAAUAAUUCUCACAUAGGAGGAGAUAAUUAAAGAGUACAUCCAUAGAAUAUGAAGAAGAAAUAGAGCAUCACAACCGGAGGAGACGAGUUUAUCUUCUGAUAGGGAUGACUUGGACUCGAGUCGAAACAUUGAAUUUUUUUUGACGAUGAUGGUGACUGUUGAGCUGGAGGUGGAGAGAACAAAAUCGAAAGAGAUGCAAUAAAGAAAAGAAGAGAAGAAAGAUCGAGAGAAAAGAAAAAAUGAAGACCGCCAAACUGGCUACUGACUAGCGGAUAGAAUUUUUUCAGUAACAUUUAAAUUAUUAAAAAAUUUAUAAAAGUUCACAGUUUGACGGUGUGGUUGGACUUCAGAAUUUUUGAAACCAAACCAAACCCAUAAAUAGCGGUUCGAUUGGCUUCGUGAACUAUUUUUAAAAAAUCACUCACUCAAACCAAACAACCUAAAAUAGUUUGAUUUAAUUCGAUUCAACAGGUUAAACUGUUUUAUGCCCACCCCUGAUGGGUAGGUGGUGCAAUUAGAUGGAACAGUAUAUUUUUUUCUACAUCGGAUGGAUGCAGUGUACAAAAAACUACUCUUGUACCUUUUCAUCAAUGAUCCGAAAGAAGCACCCCUCCCACUAUUUCCUCUUUCUUGUGGAGAGACCACAACCCUGUAAACUAAAAGGAGCACAGAAUAGCCCAAGCCAUGGAUAGAGAACCACCAUCAGACGUAAAAUAAUCUUUAUGUACAUAAAGGUUAAAAAAAAUGCUAUAUAAAGGAAAAGGAACAUGAUGCCUUCUCGCAUAAAAUAGAAAGCAUAUCAACCUAUUCAUUGGGUAAUAUAAUUAAAAAUUGGCAAACCAAGUGCCAAGUGACGGAAUAAUAAGGUUGGACACAAAUUACAAAUCCAGUGAGUCCAACAUACCAGCGAAAAGGUGAAAUUAGGCCGCUGAGGUAUUUAGGGGCAGUUCUUCAUUAGCACACAAAUGAGAGAGAAACCCGAUGAUAAAGCAAAAUUACAGAUUCUAAAAACCCAACGAUUCAACAAAUGUUCGAGUGCUAGUCCAAACCAACAAAAAGUCAAAACAAGUCUAAGAACGGAUCAAUACCCCUGAAUCCAUAGCCCUGUAAAUUGAACAAUUAUCCCAACCAAACGCCAUGCCAAAGUCCUCGCAAUCAUCACCGUGCUAGUAAAAAUUUUCUAUGUACUCAAAAUUCAAGCAUUUUGCUGCUCGCCUCUUUCAGCUCCUAGAGGCUUGCUUUUCUUUGGCCUUUUGGAUUUUCAAAACCUUCUUAACAAUCUUCUGCUCUUCAACCAAAAAAGCCCGAAUGAUCCUACAAAACCAACUAGUGUAUUAGAUCAUAUACAAGACAGGAGCAAUGAAAAUAAUCAAACUCAAUACAAACCGGACAAAAAAGAAGUGGUUACUGACCUUUCCCUUACAGCACUUCCUGAUAAAACCCCACCGUAAGCACGGUUCACAGUCCUCCGGUUUCUAGACAAUCUAGACCUCUUGUACUCAGCAGGUCUUAGGCGAGGAAUCUAAAAGUACAAUAUAGACAUUAUGCUUCCUCAUAUGCAGGCAAUAAUUGAGAGUUAAGAAGAUAAAUUAAUGCUACAGAAGCAACAUCUUAAGCUAUCCACCCAAAUAUUACUACACCAAGAACUUCCAAAGUUUCCAAAAUACAUCAUGUAACAAUAUGACACGUCAGAGCAACAACUAGUACACAUACUAAAUAGGCUAGAGGCAGGAGGUAUAUGGUACUAGUCGGUUGAGAUCAAGACAAACCCUGGGCAGACAACAGUUAUAAACAAGCUCCAGUCGAUGUCCACUAACCUAAGCAAAUGCACAAUUGUUGGAAAACUGUAAUGCAGAAAUGCAUUUCCAUAGGCAACCGCAUAUUAUUUUAAGGUGGUAUUUAAUGCAUAAAAGAGGUCUAAAAUAUUCGAUAAAUUUUAAACAGUUGCACAGCCGACCACCAUUCACAUUCUCAUGCAUUCUUCUCUUCAUCAGCAAGACUGCAAUGUAAUUAGCUUAAUAAAGUUCAAAGAAUUAAAAAAGCAACCCACAAAUGGAAUUUCAAUCUAUGAUUCGAGUAUAAGAAAGGAUCCUGACAAAAGGGACUCAUCGUUUGUCUAAGCCAUAUGAUUUAAAUGAAUACGGAGUAUGACUAAAUUUCAGAACUAGAUAUAAGAUAUUCAAAAAGGAGCAGAGAACUGUCUAAGAAAAAGAUAAACUAUAAAGCAACUUUAGAAAAUGAUAUUUCUGAACUUUAAAACUUUUCAAACACCAACCAGAUUCUCUGUAUGCUUUGAUUCAGAAAGAAUCUUAAUCACCUAACUUGCAAGUCAUAAGGUGCUUCACAAUGUUCAAAUAGGGAAACAAUUUUUCCUCUAUACCGUUUAAGAAAAAUCAAAAUGUCAACAUCAACCAACUUCCGCUCUUCUCAAUUUUCAAUUAGGUUUCUUUGAUCACCCAGUAAAAAGCAAUUAUUGAAAAAUAUAAACCAGUUAGAAAUUUCUGGUGCAUCAUAUUCAAAACAUCAACAGCAGAAAAUUUGUUGAUCAAAUUCAAAACAAUUGUUAAGUUUAUUUCAGUAACCAGUGAUAGAACAACAAAGUUGAAAUCUAAUACUGCCAAGCAAGAUUAAAUAAUGCAGUACACUAACUGCAUUAUAACCAUGUAAUACAGAAACCAAAAUGUUUUCCUAAACAACAAACAAAAUAUGUGAAGUAUAUUCCAGGAAGGCAUGCCAAAACGGGCAUCUACAACCAUGUUAUGUGUGGCAACCUCAGUCAAAGUGCAGGGUUUCAAUGAAUAUAUGAAAUAUAACACUAAGACAAUUAAAAGGGCAUUGUCCAUGUCAUCAAAAUCCAAAUCAGGUCUUUGUAGUCUAGCUGAGGCCAUUUCUUUCAUGUCUAGUACACCUUGGACAUGGACAUCUUGGAUAAUUCGAAUCAACAUCCAUUCUUUUUUUUUUCUUGGAAAAAAAGGAAGGUAUCAUCCUUGGGCAAGUCCCACUAUGAUCAUCUCAUUUUCCUUCUUUCAUGAUUUUAUUGAAAACAACAGCCAUAUGUAUUAGAUACAGGAUCUUUGAAUGUCUUCAUAGUUGAGAUUUUUUUAAUAGACAUUAGAGGGUAUUAUUAGGUCAGAUAUUUAUCUGCAAAGAUUUUGAUUCUACUUGGAUCCAUGUUCAGAACUCAUAUUGUGUAUAAUAUGCUCAAUGAUCAGAGUGGAAGGUAGAGAGUGUCCUGAUCUGUUAUUCUUUUCUUACCUAGCCAGCAUCCGGGUUGUGUUUGCAGUGUAGACACAGCUCCCCCUCCCCCCCCCCCCCUCAACAAAUCCACACAGAGAGAGAGAGAGAGAGAGAGAGAGAGAGAGAGAGNNNNNNNNNNNNNNNNNNNNNNNNNNNNNNNNNNNNNNNNNNNNNNNNNNNNNNNNNNNNNNNNNNNNNNNNNNNNNNNNNNNNNNNNNNNNNNNNNNNNNNNNNNNNNNNNNNNNNNNNNNNNNNNNNNNNNNNNNNNNNNNNNNNNNNNNNNNNNNNNNNNNNNNNNNNNNNNNNNNNNNNNNNNNNNNNNNNNNNNNNNNNNNNNNNNNNNNNNNNNNNNNNNNNNNNNNNNNNNNNNNNNNNNNNNNNNNNNNNNNNNNNNNNNNNNNNNNNNNNNNNNNNNNNNNNNNNNNNNNNNNNNNNNNNNNNNNNNNNNNNNNNNNNNNNNNNNNNNNNNNNNNNNNNNNNNNNNNNNNNNNNNNNNNNNNNNNNNNNNNNNNNNNNNNNNNNNNNNNNNNNNNNNNNNNNNNNNNNNNNNNNNNNNNNNNNNNNNNNNNNNNNNNNNNNNNNNNNNNNNNNNNNNNNNNNNNNNNNNNNNNNNNNNNNNNNNNNNNNNNNNNNNNNNNNNNNNNNNNNNNNNNNNNNNNNNNNNNNNNNNNNNNNNNNNNNNNNNNNNNNNNNNNNNNNNNNNNNNNNNNNNNNNNNNNNNNNNNNNNNNNNNNNNNNNNNNNNNNNNNNNNNNNNNNNNNNNNNNNNNNNNNNNNNNNNNNNNNNNNNNNNNNNNNNNNNNNNNNNNNNNNNNNGAGAGAGAGAGAGUGGACAGAUGAGCACAUGAGAUUUUAUAUGUUGAGUAAUGGGGAAAAGAUAAGCAAAGAGAUGGAAAUAGAAUCCAUGUAACCUAAUGUUUCUUUCCAAAACUACCCUGUCUAAUAAUCAUUAUAAACAAAGAGUAUCAUGAGAAUUUUAAUUACUUAUUCACCUGAUGGAAAAUUAGAGAAACUCCAUAACCCAACUUGCUGUUCAUAUACACACAUAUAGGGAUGGCAAUGGGCCAGAUCGGGUUCGAGUCAGAUCAAGUAAAGACAACAACAUACAAAACCUUGAUACAACCCAACAACAGGUCAAGACCUACUGACCCAUACCCACCCAUGGGUCAUUUCGGGUUAUCCAUUUAAUGUAACUUAAUCUAUUUUGUAAUCGAGUCCCUAAUAAGUCUAUGCCAACCUAUCAAAACCAACACUUACAAUUCUUACCAUUAAAUUUCAAAAUGAUUUAACAACUAGUAUCAAGAAAAAGACUGAUCACUGAAAAAAAAUCUAUCCAAGAUCAUGACUAACCAAACCUAAACUAUUUCGAUCCAAAUAGAGCCAUACCCUAAUGGCUCAAGUCAGGUCAAAGCUUUGGCCCAAAUCCAACCCAUUUAAAUUUUGGUUAGAAAAUCUGACCUGUAUUUGAUCCUGGUGAAAACUCUUGACCACAUAUGCAAAUGCGGUCCAUUGACAGCACUACAUUGCUUAAAUGUGGUUGUGAUAUAUGGCAUGCUGCAUAUAUACCGAAAAGGAAGGCAAUCCACUUGGCACUGUAAGGCCACAUAUGCAGCCUACUUGGCAUUCUAGGACAGCAUAUGCAGCCCACUUUUUAUGCAGACCCAUGCAAAUGAAUUAGGUUAAGAAUGAUGGUCAGGUUUCAUAUGGUAUGGGUUUACAUGGGCCUCAUAUGGUGUUAACAAGACUAUAUGGUGAUUAUGUUAUAACUAUAACUAUUAGGUAUGAAGUAUUAACAAGCACUAACUAUUAGCUGUUAUUGUUACUAAUAUGGCUAUUACUUAUCAAAAAUAGAUUACUACAACUGAUGCUGUUUUUGUUAUACUUCAUAUAUUUAAUUUAUCUUUAUAAUAGUUUUUUUUUUAAAAAAAAAAA